rnacentral:misc_RNA from 1 species
GAUGAAGAACGCAGCGAAAUGCGAUAAGUAAUGUGAAUUGCAGAAUUCAGUGAAUCAUCGAAUCUUUGAACGCACAUUGCGCCCGCCAGUAUUCUGGCGAGCAUGCCUGUUCGAGCGUCAUUUCAACCAUCAAGCCCCAGGCUUGUGUUGGAGCCCUGCGGCUGCCGCAGACUCCCAAAACCAGUGGCGGGCUCGCUAUCACACCGAGUGCAGUAGUUUACUCUUCGCUCAGGGCGUGUGGCGGGUGCUAGCCGUGAAACCCCCAACUUCUCAAGGUUGACCUCGGAUCAGGUAGGAAUACCCGCUGAACUUAAGCAUAUCAAUAAGCGGAGGA